UUGCCUUAAACUAAUGAGUAAGGAAAACAAAGCCAGCGUUGGAAGGCGCUUGCCGCGCCCAAGUGCGCAAGAAUUUAUGCAAGGGUUAUAGGUUGGCCGAGCCUU
rnacentral:snRNA from 1 species